GACGAACGCUGGCGGCGUGCUUAACACAUGCAGGUCGAACGAGAGCGUAGAGAAAGCUUGCUUUUUCUACAAUCUAGUGGCAAACGGGUGAGUAACGCGUAAACAACCUGCCCUACGGAUGGGGACAACAGCUGGAAACGGCUGCUAAUACCGAAUACGUUCCGAAAGUCGCAUGACUAUCGGAAGAAAGGAUGGCCUCUAUUUAUAAGCUAUCGCCGGAGGAGGGGUUUGCGUCUGAUUAGCUAGUUGGAGGGGUAACGGCCCACCAAGGCGACGAUCAGUAGCCGGUCUGAGAGGAUGAACGGCCACAUUGGAACUGAGACACGGUCCAGACUCCUACGGGAGGCAGCAGUGGGGAAUCUUCCGCAAUGGGCGAAAGCCUGACGGAGCAACGCCGCGUGAGUGAAGACGGCCUUCGGGUUGUAAAGCUCUGUUAUACGGGACGAAUAAUCUUGUGGUUAAUACCCAUGAGAAGUGACGGUACCGUAAGAGAAAGCCACGGCUAACUACGUG
rnacentral:rRNA from 1 species